rnacentral:rRNA from 1 species
UACGUAGGGCGCAAGCGUUAUCCGGAAUUAUUGGGCGUAAAGAGCUCGUAGGCGGUUUGUCGCGUCUGCCGUGAAAGUCCGGGGCUCAACUCCGGAUCUGCGGGUGGGUACGGGCAGACUAGAGUGAUGUAGGGGAGACUGGAAUUCCUGGUGUAGCGGUGAAAUGACGCAGAUAUCAGGAGGAACACCGAUGGCGAAGGCAGGUCUCUGGGGCAUUAAACUGACG